AACGAACGCUGGCGGCAGGCUUAACACAUGCAAGUCGAGCGCCCCGCAAGGGGAGCGGCAGACGGGUGGGUAACGCGUGGGAACGUACCUUUUGGUUCGGAACAACUCCGGGAAACUGGAGCUAAUACCGGAUAAGCCCUAACGGGGAAAGAUUUAUCGCCGAAAGAUCGGCCCGCGUCUGAUUAGCUAGUUGGUGAGGUAACGGCUCACCAAGGCGACGAUCAGUAGCUGGUCUGAGAGGAUGAUCAGCCACACUGGGACUGAGACACGGCCCAGACUCCUACGGGAGGCAGCAGUGGGGAAUAUUGGACAAUGGGCGCAAGCCUGAUCCAGCCAUGCCGCGUGAGUGAUGAAGGCCUUAGGGUUGUAAAGCUCUUUUGUCCGGGAAGAUAAUGACUGUACCGGAAGAAUAAGCCCCGGCUAACUUCGUG
rnacentral:rRNA from 1 species